rnacentral:rRNA from 1 species
UGGGGAAUAUUGCGCAAUGGGGGGAACCCUGACGCAGCCAUGCCGCGUGAAUGAAGAAGGCCUUAGGGUUGUAAAGUUCUUUCGGUAUUGAGGAAGGUUGAUGUGAUAAUAGCACAUCAAAUUGACGUUAAAUACAGAAGAAGCACCGGCUAACUCCGUGCCAGCAGCCGCGGUAAUACGGAGGGUGCGAGCGUUAAUCGGAAUAACUGGGCGUAAAGGGCACGCAGGCGGUUAUUUAAGUGAGGUGUGAAAGCCCUGGGCUUAACCUAGGAAUUGCAUUUCAGACUGGGUAACUAGAGUACUUUAGGGAGGGGUAGAAUUCCACGUGUAGCGGUGAAAUGCGUAGAGAUGUGGAGGAAUACCGAAGGCGAAGGCAGCCCCUUGGGAAUGUACUGACGCUCAUGUGCGAAAGCGUGGGGAGCAAACAGGAUUAGAUACCCUGGUAGUCCACGCUGUAAACGCUGUCGAUUUGGGGGUUGGGGUUUAACUUUGGCGCCCGUAGCUAACGUGAUAAAUCGACCGCCUGGGGAGUACGGCCGCAAGGUUA